UUUUUUUUUUCACCUGCCUUCUGUUUUGGCUUAUAUGUCCCUUCUAUUUUUUGUGUCCCCUGUUCAUUCGUCCUUCUAAAUUGUUGUUUAUCGCUCUGUACUUAUAUUUAUUUGUCAUUCCUUUAUUUUAUCUGUUAAGUCUUUUGUCAACGUAGAUUGUUGACUUACUUUUAAAUUUUCUACGUGUCUUUCUUUCCAGUCCUUUGUCGUUUGUUGUCCACGUGUUCUUCUUCUCUCUUUCUUUUGGGUUCGAUGUCCACCGCCCUUCGCCGCCUAUCUCUCGAUUACAUUACUAUGGUUUCACAUUUUAUUUUAUCCUCCCCAAAUCGAGUCUCCUCUCUUCUUCUACUUGCUGCUACCUCCACCGCUUCAGGCGAUGUACCGACAACCAACCACCGGAGUUCGCCGUUUACCCUCUGCUCCAUAUAAAGAUGAUCCAAAAGCAGAAACAAGGUUUCAAGGAGUAUCAAAGGAAUAUGAGGUAUUAUUACUAACUAUAAAAAUGAUUUAGGUUUAAUCAGGCACCUUACCAGCUUGCUACAAGCGAUGAAGGACGGGAGGUUAGGGGCUGUGGAAGAUGCGACGACGGAGGGUUCCAGAGUCAAGAUCGAUUGCGACAGAGGAUACAAACAACUGCAUCCAUUAUCAACAAUAGACUGAAUGAUUGAAGCUCUGGAAUCGAUGAAAUUCAAAAAACCUCUUCAUCAACAUCUAUGGUCGGGAUUUUCACGAUGGCGGUUUCAGGUUCAGUGCUUUGGAUGCCCUUGGUUUUGGAAGUUAAGUAACUAAUUGACUUAUUUCUUCUGACGAAAAUGGUAUAAAAAUGCAGUCACCGCCUCAGUAGAACUGAUUGUAAUUUAUACAGGAGGUCUUCUUCUACAUGACACGUAAUUAUAAAAGAAAAACUUUUGUAAAUUGAAUUAACCUUUUAAAAUUUAAUGAUUAAGCAGAAGACAUACAUAGUUCCCAUUCGUCGUUUAAUUGCAUCCAAGUUUCAAUAAAGAUUUGAUACAUUUUUUGGCUUCAAUUUCAAAUUCUAUAGGUUGAUUUAGUUUGAGUAUACACAUUGUAGACAAACCGUAAGCCCUCAAAUAGGAGUAGUUGAUACCUCCUACAAAUGGGGUUACUUUUGGGGAUUAUGCAGUAAAAGACACCUCAAGACGGUUUAGGUUUGUGGUGUUAACAUGAGUUUAUAUUCAACAGAUGCAUUAGAACAUCAAAUUACUUCUUUAUAUGCAAAUAUUUCAAAAAGGAGAAGGAUGGUUUACAUGAUUUUUCUGCUGGUAUGGUUCUUCAACAAUUAGUCAGUAACAAAUCUGACUUAUUUAAGAAGCAUCCAGUCCAACAUGGUAAAUUUUUUUUGGUUUUCUUUAUAACAAAGGUUACUGGGAUUUGGUAUCUAUAUGAAAUAACAAUGGGGAUUGUCACAUCCUAAUAUAAUAUCUCAUAUAUCUAAUGACCUGAAAUAAAAGAAGACAGUUGUUGCUACAUCUGUUGAAAUAAGAAAGUCGUUGAUUGAAGUUCUAAUUCAAGUCUGAAGUCUGAACAAAUGAAUGUUAUUCUGUAGGAACUACUAUUGCACGGUAUGUGUUUGUUGAAAUGUCAAUGUUGAUGAAGAGUUUGUUUUUUGAUUUGGGAUCGGUGAUGAUGGAGAUAUGAAAGAUUUAUGCCAUCUCCUGGAAAAAUUAACUAUGUUUUCUGUGUAUACAGUUUACUUAUGAAAGAUGUUAAGUCUGGACUGUAGAUGUAGGUGAAGUCGUUGAAGGCGGAAAGGAGUUCGAGGGAGAUGGGGAACAAAUUAGCAUUUGUGGAUGUCGUGGCAACAUCCGGUAUUAUAUAGACUUAACAGAAAUUGGCAUUUGUGUUUGCUUUUUUCUUGCAUCUUAUGAUGUUAUUGUUUAGUUUGAACUUUUAAGGGUAAAACUGACAACUGGUAUCGACAUAGUUUUCAGGGAAUUGAUAGUUUAGGCCAUAAUACGGGUUUACAACGACAAAAA